AUUUCCAAGCUCACAGUCCAUAGAUACAGGGCGCUCGCGUUGAAUGCAAUGGAGACCACCCGUCUAGACCCUGAAACUCUGCAACCCCAGAAGCCUUGCGAUCAGAUUACAGACCCCAGCAUUUUCAGAGUAAAAGUACGAUUAUAUUAGGGGCGGGGGAGGGGGAAUCAAAGUUUGGUGACCGCACUUCAUUGUUGAAAAGAAAACCGAUGCAAAGACUCCAGCACGAGUAAACGAUUUCUGAAGUGUAUGCUAGAGCAGAGCGUUGCUAUCAACUUAGGUACGUUCUAAUUUUCCUCCAGGUGCUGUAAACGUACCUUUGCAAAUAUUAUUGCUCUAAUUAGAAGGAAACUAUUCCACAUACGGUUAAAACGAGGCCGGCAGAAGUGUGCUUCAUUUCCGAACUUGACCCCUUAACCUGCACCUCAAGCUCAUUUUUAUUGCUACCCACUGAGCCCUGCUCUCCACGCACCGGUUGCACCAGCCCUGCCGACCCGUACGUUCGCGGUCUCCGCUGGGAUGGCUGGAAAGGAAGCGAGAAAGUCACGGAAGAACUUACCUGAAACGAUCCCAUUCGACAGGAACCCCAGCUGGUAAAGGAGGCAGCAGCAGCAGAUGAGUUUCCGAGGCCGAGCAGGCUAGUGCUGGAGCCCCACAAGACAGACCCACAGCCAGCCGAGAGCCGGGAGUGCUGCCUCUGGACAGGCAGAGGACUGCCCGGCGCGGGCAGGAGAGCUGUGGUGUCCGAGCCGAGGCUCGCCGCCUGCACCCGCGCGGAACGGGCGGAGGCUGGUGUCACAGUCUCAGCAACUUGGUGUGCCAAGCUCCGCACACUCCUCACGCUCCUUAGGACGCACCGCUGAAGGCUCUCACCCGCAGCGGCGCGGGAGGGAAUGAGUAGGGAGAUGGGAAGACACGACUAGAGAGGUGGGUUGUAGAGCAGAAAAGAAUCAAGCACAUCUGACCAGAAAAAGGGACCAAGGGGUGCCCGCCAAGCGUGACUUUGCGGGACAAAGGUCCCAGAACACCGUGCACGUGCUCAAACGCCGGUUGGGAUGGGGUGGGGACCCAAAAUCCCUCACCUGACUAUUGAUUGGCCACUCGGGAAGGCCUGAUUUGCAUCCAUCCCCUGCCCCCG
rnacentral:lncRNA from 1 species